AGUGAACGCUGGCGGUAGGCCUAACACAUGCAAGUCGAACGGCAGCACAGUAAGAGCUUGCUCUUACGGGUGGCGAGUGGCGGACGGGUGAGGAAUACAUCGGAAUCUACUUUUUCGUGGGGGAUAACGUAGGGAAACUUACGCUAAUACCGCAUACGACCUACGGGUGAAAGCAGGGGAUCUUCGGACCUUGCGCGAUUGAAUGAGCCGAUGUCGGAUUAGCUAGUUGGCGGGGUAAAGGCCCACCAAGGCGACGAUCCGUAGCUGGUCUGAGAGGAUGAUCAGCCACACUGGAACUGGAACAGGGACCGUGCUCCCACGGGAGGCAGCAGUGGGGAAUAUUGGACAAUGGGCGCAAGCCUGAUCCAGCCAGAGCGCGUGGGAGAAGAAGGCCUUCGGGUUGUAAAGCCCUUUUGUUGGGAAAGAAAAGCAGCAGGUUAAUACGCCGCUGUUCUGACGGUACCCAAAGAAUAAGCACCGGCUAACUUCGUG
rnacentral:rRNA from 1 species